UACCAGCACCCCGAGUGGUCGGGACGAUUAUUGGGCCUAAAGCAUCCGUAGCCGGUUUUACAAGUCCCCCGUUAAAUCCACCUGCUUAACAGAUGGGCUGCGGAGGAUACUAUAGAGCUAGGAGGCGGGAGAGGCAAGCGGUACUCGAUGGGUAGGGGUAAAAUCCGUUGAUCCAUUGAAGACCACCAGUGGCGAAGGCGGCUUGCCAGAACGCGCUCGACGGUGAGGGAUGAAAGCUGGGGGAGCAAACCGG
rnacentral:rRNA from 1 species